rnacentral:lncRNA from 1 species
GAAUGAAUUUCUUUGCUUUUAAUCUCACACAGUUUAAAAUACAAUAUGAAAUCAGGCUACAGUAUAUAAAAAAUUCUCCAGCAAAAUGAUGUGCCAGCAUCAGCUACUAAAAUAAACGAACAAAAAAUUCCCCCGUAAGAAAUUUUUUUUUGCAUUAAAAAAAAAACACAUAGACACUUACAUCGCUACAUCUCUAAGCUACCUCAGUUCUGAUUUUUUAAAAAGCACCUGCUUUUCCUUUUUUUUUUUCUCAUCUUGCUUUUAAAUUUUCAGG